CUAAGUCGUUUGUGCAUACUGCACGUUGCGACUAUAGAGAGUAAUUUCUAUUUAAAAAUCUUGCUGUAUCGGUGAAGCCUAACUAUUCGGUAUAUCUUUUCGAUAUAUUGGAUAUAUGGUAAUACCGAGGGAACCUUUUUCCGAAACAUCGGAAUUUGGACUCCGUAGAGACUACACGCGAGCACCUUUUCACAUUAGGAAAAGGUUGAAGAUAUAGUCCAUGCCCGUAGAAAUACGCGG
rnacentral:ncRNA from 3 species